rnacentral:rRNA from 1 species
CCUACGGGCGGCAGCAGUGGGGGAUAUUGCACAAUGGGGGAAACCCUGAUGCAGCGACGCCGCGUGGGUGAAGAAGCGCCUCGGCGCGUAAAGCCCUGGCAGCAGGGAAGAAAAUGACGGUACCUGAAGAAGAAGCCCCGGCUAACUACGUGCCAGCAGCCGCGGUAAUACGUAGGGGGCAAGCGUUAUCAGGAUUUACUGGGUGUAAAGGGGGCGCAGACGGCGAGGCAAGCCAGGAGUGAAAGCCCGGGGCCCAACCCCGGGACUGAUCUUGGAACUGCGUGGAUAGAGUGCAGGAGGGGCAGGCGGAAUUCCUGGUGUAGCGGUGAAAUGCGUAGAUAUCAGGAGGAACACCGGUGGCGAAGGCGGCCUGCUGGACUGCAACUGACGUUGAGGCCCGAAAGCGUGGGGAGCAAACAGGAUUAGAUACCCCAGUAGUC